AGAAAAUAGUUACUAGGAAUGUUUUACAUUUCUAUUAAUUCUGGGUCAUUUAUGUAGUUUCUUUUAUUUUUAAAACAGUAUUAAGUAUCAUCUCUUCAAGUUGUAAUCACACUUUUGAAAUGUUAAUGAAAUAGUUCACCUCUAUCUCUUUCCCUAUCUUCUCUCUCCCUUUAAAUUCUCCUUCUCUUCUACUUUUCUUCGAUCCUUCUUUCUCUUAUUUAGUUCCCUAGUGAGUUUUUUUGCAAUUGAUAUUAGGUUUUGGUAUUAAUUAGUUUCAGAGCAUUAACCUUAGUUCUCACGGAAAACCUACUGAUGGUUUUUCAGCCUUCAUAGCUUCAAACUUGCAGGAGCAAUACGAAGAUCUUGCUGCUCAGUUAGGUGACAUGAGUGCCUUACUGGACCAACAACAUCAGAAGUUGCAUAGUGAUAUGGAUCAUAGUCGUAUGAAGCUUAUUCAACUGGUGAACUAUUUGAAUAGUUCAAUUGACGGGUACAAAUCUCACAAAAGGUAAAUGAUAUUUCGGUGACCUCAUCUGCUAAGACAACGACUCUUACUCAGGAAACCAUUUAAGAUGUUAAAAAUAAUUCUCGAGAUCAAAACAAGGCCAAAUGAAGUGUGAAAGGCAGCCACAAAGUGUGGAACUUAAAGACA